rnacentral:rRNA from 1 species
GAUGAACGCUAGCGGCAGGCUUAAUACAUGCAAGUCGAGGGGCAGCGCAGUGUAGCAAUACAUGGGCGGCGACCGGCAAACGGGUGCGGAACACGUACAGAACCUUCCUACGAGCGGGGAAUAGCCCAGAGAAAUUUGGAUUAAUACCUUAUAGUAUAUCGAUGUGGCAUAACAAUGAUAUUAAAGAUUUAUCGGUACAA